rnacentral:ncRNA from 3 species
AACGUAGGGGGCAAGCGUUGCCCGGAUUUACUGGGCGUAAAGCGGGUGUAGGCGGUCCUCUAAGUCAGAUGUGAAAUCCUACGGCUCAACCGUGGAACUGCAUCUGAUACUGGAGGACUUGAGGACGGUAGAGGUCGGUGGAAUCCCCGGUGUACCGGUGAAAUGGGCAGAUAUCGGGGGGAACACCAGUGGCGAAGGCGGCCGACUGGGCCGAUCCUGACGCUGAGACCCGAAAGCUAGGGUAGCGAACCGG